UGUCGAUGUCGGGAUGAACAUGGCAUGGAUUUGUGAUUCUGCAGAUUUUGACCCUCACACAUAUAAAGACUUCAUGUCAAUUCUCAUUACGGCAUUCAGGGCCUAUGUCAAGAAUCACAAAGGAAGGCAUGAUCCAGGUCUGGGGAGCCACUUGCGUUUCAAAUCUCUAUGUUCGUUUCCCAAGCAAAGGCCAGGGAGUCUGCAUUGUGGAUACUAUGUAUGUGCUUUCAUCAGUAACACAAAAGGCUACAGGAGACACCCUGAAUUGGUAAGUUUGAAUCUCUUAGUGGGUUGUAGUAUGAAAACAUAGUAUUUCUCACUUAGCUUUGCAAUCUCUUCUUUACACUAGACCUAAACUUGUCUUUUACGAUCUUGUAGUGGAAAGAAGAAAAAGG